GUCCUCUUGAUUAAUAUUUUGAGGUCUGGCCUGCUCACUGACAAAGUUUUAAAGAGCCGCGGUAUUUUGACCGUGCAAAGGUAGCAUAAUCAUUAGUCUCUUAAUUAGGGGCUUGAAUGAAUGGCUUGACGAGAAAUCAUCUGUCUCUUAUUAAUUUAUAGAAUUUAACUUUUAAGUUAAAAGGCUUAAAUUUUUCUUUAAGACGAGAAGACCCUAUAGAGCUUAACAUUUUAUUUUUAUAUAAUUUUUAGUUAAUUUUUUUAUAUUAAAAGAUAAUGUUUUGUUGGGGUGACAUGAAGAAUAGAUAAACUCUUCAUUCUAAAAUCAUUAAUUUAUGUUUAAUAUGAUCCAUAAUUUAUGAUCAUAAGAUUAAGUUACCUUAGGGAUAACAGCGUAAUUGUUUUUGAGAGCUCAUAUUGACAAAGCAGAUUGCGACCUCGAUGUUGGAUUAAGAAUAAUUCUGGGUGCAGUAGCCCAUUAAUUAGGUCUGUUCGACCUUUAAAUUCUU
rnacentral:rRNA from 2 species